rnacentral:lncRNA from 1 species
GGCACCUGGAACCUACGACUAUAGGAACUGCUGCAAGGAAGGGGUGACAAUUUACUGAAUUCAUUUUGUUCCUGCUUGGGUUUUUCUAUAAAGGGAUGUCUGUUCAGCUGGGGCCCAGGGCCGAAAACAUCUGAAAGCAGGUCUGCUCCGAUUAAACUCAAUGCUUUUAAAACUUCAACAAAGCAACGCGGACCACUUGCCACGUCGCCUGCACCUCUCAGGCUUGGCUGCGCCCCAGAGAGUCGGGUAAGGCAGCCCAGUUCUGAUACAGUAAUUUACACAUACCAAAAUUUGAAAAUCUUGUAUCCAACUUAUGAGCAGUUUGAACUCUUUCAUGUAAAAAGAUAGAAAAGAAACCCUAAACUCGAAUUUGUGGUGGUUCCCAUCAACUGGAGCAGCAGGACAAACCCUGUAUAGGCAAACC